rnacentral:lncRNA from 1 species
AUGCUCCAGGACACCCCAAAGUGUCCCAGGGUCCCCCAAAGUGUCCCAGGAUCCCUCAAAAUGUCCCAGGACACCCCAAAGUGUCCCAGGACCCCACAAAAUGUCCCAGGACCCCCCCAGCCCCAUCCUGCUCUGCCCCCCCUUGCUCCCAGGCCCCUCCCCAGAGCCCCGUGCCCAGUCCUGGGGUGCUCCCAGUAUGGGGCCGGGCUCGUGCAGCUCAGCCCCACACCAGUACGGGGGCACGGGGGGUGGGGGGGGGACGGGAAGGAAUCCUGGUGCUGGGUCCCGCUGUGGGGUCCUGGGAGAGGGAAGUGGUGGGGGGCCUGGUGCGGGAUCCCGGGAGAGAAUCCCAGUUUGGGGUCCUGGUUUGGGAUCCCAGUUUGGAAUCCCAGUUUGGGGUUUCAGGAGAGAAUCCCAGUUUGGGAUCCCGGUUUGGGAUCCCAGUUUGGGGUCCCCGUUUGGGGUUUCAGGAGAGAAUCCCAGUUUAGGGUUCCGGUUUGGGGUUCCAGGCGAGAAUCCCAGUUUGGGAUCCUGGUUUGGGGUCCUGGUUCAGGGUCCUGGAAGAGAAUCCCAGUUUGGGAUCCCAGUUUGGGAUCCCAGUUUGGGGUGUCAGGAGAGAAUCCCGGUUUGGGAUCCCCGUUUGGGAUCCCAGUUGGGGAUCCUGGUUUGGGGUCCUGGUCUGGGGUUCCGGGAGAGAAUCCCAGUCUGGGGCCCCAGGAGGGAGUCCCAGUUUGGGGUCCUGGUUUGGGGUGCUGGUGCAGGAUCCCGUUGUGGGGUCCUGGUGUUGGUCCCAGGAGCAGGUCCCAGCGGGGCUCCCAGUUUGGGGUGCCGGUGCAGGGUCCCGGUGCAGCAUCCCGGUCCUCCCGGGAUUUUGUGUCCCCGGGGGAGGAUCCCGGUGGGGAUCCCGGUUUGGGAUCCCGCUGGGGGUCCUGGAUUUGGGUCCCGGUGCUGGCUCCCGGUACUGGGACCCGGAAUUUGGUCCCGGGGGAGAAUCCCGGUGGGGAUCCCGGUUUGGGGUCGCGCUUUGGGAUUCCGGGGGAGAACCCCGGCGUGAGGACCCUCUUUGGGGUCCCGGUAGGAAAUCCCCCUUUGGGGUCCCCCUUUGGGGUCCCGCUUUGGGGGGGGUCCCGGCGCGAUCUCCGGGGCCGCCCGUUCCCCUCGCUCCGCCCGACGUCGUUCGGCGGCCGGUAA